AUGCAAGUCGAACGGUGAACACGGAGCUUGCUCUGUGGGAUCAGUGGCGAACGGGUGAGUAACACGUGAGCAACCUGCCCCUGACUCUGGGAUAAGCGCUGGAAACGGCGUCUAAUACUGGAUAUGUGACGUGACCGCAUGGUCUGCGUUUGGAAAGAUUUUUCGGUUGGGGAUGGGCUCGCGGCCUAUCAGCUUGUUGGUGAGGUAAUGGCUCACCAAGGCGUCGACGGGUAGCCGGCCUGAGAGGGUGACCGGCCACACUGGGACUGAGACACGGCCCAGACUCCUACGGGAGGCAGCAGUGGGGAAUAUUGCACAAUGGGCGAAAGCCUGAUGCAGCAACGCCGCGUGAGGGAUGACGGCCUUCGGGUUGUAAACCUCUUUUAGCAGGGAAGAAGCGAAAGUGACGGUACCUGCAGAAAAAGCGCCGGCUAACUACGUGCCAGCAGCCGCGGUAAUACGUAGGGCGCAAGCGUUAUCCGGAAUUAUUGGGCGUAAAGAGCUCGUAGGCGGUUUGUCGCGUCUGCUGUGAAAUCCCGAGGCUCAACCUCGGGCCUGCAGUGGGUACGGGCAGACUAGAGUGCGGUAGGGGAGAUUGGAAUUCCUGGUGUAGCGGUGGAAUGCGCAGAUAUCAGGAGGAACACCGAUGGCGAAGGCAGAUCUCUGGGCCGUAACUGACGCUGAGGAGCGAAAGGGUGGGGAGCAAACAGGCUUAGAUACCCUGGUAGUCCACCCCGUAAACGUUGGGAACUAGUUGUGGGGUCCAUUCCACGGAUUCCGUGACGCAGCUAACGCAUUAAGUUCCCCGCCUGGGGAGUACGGCCGCAAGGCUAAAACUCAAAGGAAUUGACGGGGACCCGCACAAGCGGCGGAGCAUGCGGAUUAAUUCGAUGCAACGCGAAGAACCUUACCAAGGCUUGACAUAUACGAGAACGGGCCAGAAAUGGUCAACUCUUUGGACACUCGUAAACAGGUGGUGCAUGGUUGUC
rnacentral:rRNA from 1 species